GACCUCCUUUAAAGACCGGCUUGAAGCACUGGCCCAGUAGCUUGCCUGAGGGGUUACACGAUCUGAACACAUAAAAAAAGCCCGCAUCCAUCAAGGUGCGGGCUUUUUUUAC
rnacentral:sRNA from 1 species